rnacentral:tRNA from 1 species
GGGUAAUUAGCUCAGUUGGUAGAGCACUUGUUCGACAUACAAGAGGUCACUGGUCCGAAUCCAGUAUUACCCA